CAAACAGCUGGGACUACAGGCAUGUGCCACCAUGCCCGGCUAAUUGUUUUUUUUUUGUUGCUUUUGUUUUUGUUUUUGUUUUUUGUAGAGAUCAGGGUCUCACUGCAUUGCUCAGGCCACUCUUGAAUUCCUGGUUGCAAGUGAUCCUCCUUCCUCAGCCUCCCAUCUGGAACUAUAGGUGUAAGCUAGCAUGCCCAGCCUUGAACUUUGAAAAAUGCAUGUAGUUAUGUAACUAUCAUCAUAAGAUACAGAACUUUUUCAUCAUCAAAAAGUUUUCUUUUUUUUUUCU
rnacentral:lncRNA from 10 species